UUUGACCAUAACAUGAAUUCCAGCUAGCAACCGGGUGUAGUUGAAACAAAAAUAUCUAAGUAGGUUUCACUUAUUUUUCAGGCUAAGAUUAAGUUUUACAUGAGUUAAAAAUCUGAAAAUAAAUUUCACGGAUGAGCGAUAGGAGGUUGCCUUCGGGGCUGAUCUUCGCUUUCCGGAAGUUCCUUUUGGGAAGAGAAGCGACAGAGAAUAACAGAUACUACGAUGAAGUCCAUUCCAGGGUUCCUGCAUGUCCUCUUCCCAACUUACCAACCGGACCUCACUCGAUUUUAUCAAAAAAUUAUUAUUGUAACCGUGAUGCGAGAAGGCUGGUGAAGCCUCCUGCAGAAAUAAAGCCUAUUCCUCAAAUCAAAGCCGACCAAUCUGAUGUAUGUGAGCCUAGGGCAGCCAUGCCAGGAAAAUCUAGAUCCUGCUAAAAAGUCAAGACUUUGGAAAAAAAAUACCAUGAACCGUCUAGUAGUCUUAAGUUUUUAAAUUAAAUUUUAAACAACUGA